GCUUGAGACUUUGAGCGGGAAUCUAAAAUAUUCUCUGAUUCCCACUUUCAAUUUUCAGAUGUCUCCUUCUGACAUUUAUCUGUUUCUAUUUAUAAUACUGAUGGAGCUACUGACAUUUAUCUGCUUCUCUUUAUAGUAGUGAUGGGACAGUCGUAGGUAUUAUUCUCCGGCGAUGUGAGAUUCUCGUCUCUAAGGCUGUUUUCAAAAGGUGGGCCUUUCUUCGAUGCUCAGCUUAAUGGGCUGAUGCUUUCUUUUAUGGGCUGGAUCUUCCUCACUUUCUCUUAAUUAUGUCAUCAAUUCUGAUGGGCCGCAUAAGUAUGACUUGGGGCGAAGCCCAUAUCUAACAAUCAAUAUUAUGUUGGAAAUAUAUAUGAGUCAAUAAUUUUCAGUAUCAAAGGAAGUUUAACCUCUUUAUGGAUAGAUAGAGUAUGGUUUGGGUACGGACAA